UGGGGAAUAUUGCACAAUGGGCGCAAGCCUGAUGCAGCAACGCCGCGUGAACGAUGAAGGUCUUCGGAUCGUAAAGUUCUGUUGCAGGGGAAGAUAAUGACGGUACCCUGUGAGGAAGCCCCGGCUAACUACGUGCCAGCAGCCGCGGUAAUACGUAGGGGGCUAGCGUUAUCCGGCUUUACUGGGCGUAAAGGGUGCGUAGGUGGUCUUUCAAGUCGGUGGUUAAAGGCUACGGCUCAACCGUAGUUAGCCUCCGAAACUGGAAGACUUGAGUGCAGGAGAGGAAGGUGGAAUUCCCAGUGUAGCGGUGAAAUGCGUAGAUAUUGGGAGGAACACCAGUAGCGAAGGCGGCUGUCUGGACGGCAACUGACACUGAGGCACGAAAGCGUGGGUAGCAAACAGG
rnacentral:rRNA from 1 species